rnacentral:rRNA from 1 species
AACGAACGCUGGCGGCAUGCCUAACACAUGCAAGUCGAACGAGACCUUCGGGUUUAGUGGCGCACGGGUGCGUAACGCGUGGGAACCUGCCUUUAGGUUCGGAAUAACUCAGGGAAAUUUGAGCUAAUACCGGAUGAUGUCUUCGGACCAAAGGUUUAUCGCCUUUGGAUGGGCCCGCGUUGGAUUAGCUAGUUGGUGGGGUAAAGGCCUACCAAGGCGACGAUCCAUAGCUGGUCUGAGAGGAUGAUCAGCCACACUGGGACUGAGACACGGCCCAGACUCCUACGGGAGGCAGCAGUGGGGAAUAUUGGACAAUGGGCGAAAGCCUGAUCCAGCAAUGCCGCGUGAGUGAUGAAGGCCUUAGGGUUGUAAAGCUCUUUUACCCGAGAUGAUAAUGACAGUAUCGGGAGAAUAAGCUCCGGCUAACUCCGUG